GACGAACGCUGGCGGCGUGCUUAACACAUGCAAGUCGAACGGAAAGGCCCUGCUUUUGUGGGGUGCUCGAGUGGCGAACGGGUGAGUAACACGUGAGUAACCUGCCCUUGACUUUGGGAUAACUUCAGGAAACUGGGGCUAAUACCGGAUAGGAGCUCCUGCUGCAUGGUGGGGGUUGGAAAGUUUCGGCGGUUGGGGAUGGACUCGCGGCUUAUCAGCUUGUUGGUGGGGUAGUGGCUUACCAAGGCUUUGACGGGUAGCCGGCCUGAGAGGGUGACCGGCCACAUUGGGACUGGGAUACGGCCCAGACGCCUACGGGAGGCAGGAGUGGGGAAUAUUGCACAAUGGGCGGAAGCCUGAUGCAGCAACGCCGCGUGCGGGAUGACGGCCUUCGGGUUGUAAACCGCUUUCGCCUGUGACGAAGCGUGAGUGACGGUAAUGGGUAAAGAAGCACCGGCUAACUACGU
rnacentral:rRNA from 1 species